GAUGAACGCUGGCGGCGUGCCUAAUACAUGCAAGUCGAGCGAACAGACGAGGAGCUUGCUCCUUCAACGUUAGCGGCGGACGGGUGAGUAACACGUAGGUAACCUACCUAUAAGACUGGGAUAACUUCGGGAAACCGGAGCUAAUACCGGAUAAUAUUUCGAACCGCAUGGUUCGAUAGUGAAAGAUGGCUUUGCUAUCACUUAUAGAUGGACCUGCGCCGUAUUAGCUAGUUGGUAAGGUAACGGCUUACCAAGGCAACGAUACGUAGCCGACCUGAGAGGGUGAUCGGCCACACUGGAACUGAGACACGGUCCAGACUCCUACGGGAGGCAGCAGUAGGGAAUCUUCCGCAAUGGGCGAAAGCCUGACGGAGCAACGCCGCGUGAGUGAUGAAGGUCUUCGGAUCGUAAAACUCUGUUAUUAGGGAAGAACAAACGUGUAAGUAGCUGUGCACGUCUUGACGGUACCUAAUCAGAAAGCCACGGCUAACUACGUG
rnacentral:rRNA from 1 species